rnacentral:rRNA from 1 species
UACGUAGGGUGCAAGCGUUGUCCGGAUUUAUUGGGCGUAAAGAGCGUGUAGGCGGCCAGACAGGUCCGUUGUGAAAACUCGAGGCUCAACCUCGAGACGUCGAUGGAAACCGUCUGGCUAGAGUCCGGAAGAGGAGAUCGGAAUUCCUGGUGUAGCGGUGAAAUGCGCAGAUAUCAGGAGGAACACCGGUGGCGAAGGCGGAUCUCUGGGCCAUUACUGACGCUGAGGGGCGAAAGCGUGGGGAGCGAACAGG